UGAGUGUUAUUUUGUUUUUUCGUUUAUGUUUGUGUUGUUUAUUUUGUUCUUUUAUGUUUUAUUUUUGUUUUUAGUUCAUUUGCUUAAAGUUAUCGUACAUUUAAUUAAUUUGGUUUCCUGUUAUAAGUUUAGUAUCGUUUCUGCCUACAGAAUCCUAUUACGCUUACAAAAAUUUUGAUUUCCUCUUUGUUAGAUUGGUUUUUUGACUUUUGAUUAGUUUCCGGUUUUUUAUUUACCAGUUUAUUUUCUUUUCCAUCCGUUUUUUCCCCUUAAAUUUUUGAAAUGCCAACCCGGAUUCUGCGUGAGUAAUACAUUUAAAUUAGCCAUUAUUUUGAUGAUUGUUCUGUUUUUGGAUUUCAUUCGGACAUAUUUGUACUUGUUUUUCGAUGACAUUUUGCCACUACACAUUAAUCAUACUGGUUAUUGGAUUGCAUACGUAGUAUAUAAGAGCCGACUUUUUUCAAGAACUAUGGAAUCACGAGUAUAAUCGAAAUGUUAAUAGGAUUGUUUUGACUUUCACAGAAUAGCAGUUGAACAUUUGAUAAUUUGAAAGUCUGGCAAAACUCGGAAAUUAUAAGCAUUUUUACGGCCAAACUUGUCUACUUUACUAACUUAAGUUGAAAUGGUUCUUAAAUUAGAACCACUUCAGGUUAAUUAAAAAAAUUUUUGAACUUACUUCCAAAUCUCAUUGAUUCCAGAUCAAGUCAAGAAUGAUAGAAGUUUGAAGUUUCAAUUUGAAGCGGUCCCAUUUCACCCUGGGCAGUUAGAGAUCCAGGUUUACCCAAGAUUCCUUGUUGUACACGACUGUUAUGUUAUAUAAGAAUUUAAUAAAAUUCCUUCAACAAUAGUUCUAUUAAACCAGCAACCCUCAAAGGCUUUAUUGAAAUAUUUCUCUACGAAAUCAGACAGAAAUUCCCAGGGUAUCUCGGGAUCUCUAUAGAAAAGCUACCAGGAUUUUUAGAUAUUUAGGAUUUUUUUAGGCUCGACAUUACUCACAAUACCCAAGUAACCAAUGCUAUUAUACAGCUGACAUGCCCUAUACUAGCCGUAUAAUAGCCCUAUAAGGCCAAAAAGGCGAAUUAGCGGGCUAAUGGUUCUUUGGGUAGUCCGCCAAAUGUUGCUUCAAAUAUAUUAAACAUUACUUCAUAUUAUUUCUCCAGAGGCGAAUGACACCAGUUAAAACCUCUAUAAUAAAUAAUAAAUAAAUAAAAUAUUAUUUCUCAACAAACUAGUCGAAAAGUAUUUUUAAAAGAGUUCUACUUAUGGCACAUCAAAGAAAUUUUACACAGAUUCCCUCUAGUUUCCUCAAAAACGAUAACAAUAAUUUCCUCAGGAGCUUGUCUUGUAAUUAAGUAUAAAUUUAAGAACUCUCCCAGAUAUUCAUCUGGAGAUUUUAAAAUAAAUUUCUCCAAAAAUAUCUUUAAAAUUCAUCCAGAAGAUUCUUAAAUAAUUACAUUCAGACUUACUCAAGGAAAACUCUGUCAAUGAGUUGCCAACAUUUUGUUUUAUGGUGCCUAGUAAACACACGGUCGUAUAUGAUAGCAUACAAGAGUACAGACGUAUACGUAUACAGGCGAUAUACGUACAUUUUUCAUGCAUCCUUAUGACAUAUGAACGUAUAUCGCCUUCAGUUUUAUACGCUCAAGCUCUAUUGUAUACGAUUUUGUGAUUACUGUCAGUAUAGUUCGCCUAAGAGUCGGCCGAUCUUAUGAAAUGCUUCCAAGGCUAAUUCUUAUGCAUGAUCGCCAAGAAUGAACGCUUCUAUUGGCUUUCAACCAAGUAAACUUUCGAAGAAACGAAGGAAGCAGAGAGACAAGCUCUGUCUCACUGGAAU